UCUUUCUCGUGGUGCAGAGAACUUCCUCCGUGUGAAAUAUGGCUCUGUAGCUCGUAGCUUCUUCCCUGAUCGAGGUCACUGGUGAUGUGUUUCAUUUUGAUGGUCUGGUUUUGGUCGUUGUUCUGAGUCUCACUGAAGUCUGGUCCAGUACUGACCCAAGCUCGGGUCCUGAUCUCCAGCCUGAACCCCGACCGGCCCUGAGAGCGACACGCUGGGAAGAAGACUCCAGCCCAGGAAGAAGAAUCCAGUUCAGGAACAAUAAAGAUACAUGUGACUCUCAGAGUCUCAGCGAGCAAAUUUAUGGAAGGAGUCUCCAGUGUCAGCACUUUGUAACAGUCAGAGUAAAGUUGUAACUUUAAGUUUUCCCACAUCUUCGGGACAGACGC